AUGUCUAAUAGAGCAGGACCCAGUCACAGAGAGAUGCACCAAGUCAGAUGAACACGUGUGUGUGUGUGUGUGUGUGUGUGUGUGUGUGUGUGUGUGUGUGUGUGUGUGUGUGUGUGUGUGUCCAUGCACUCAGCAUCCUAAGAUACAUUAAUUUAGACUCUUUAUGCAUGGGUGUGUUUGAAUCUUUUCUUUGAGGUUAUGACAGCGAGUGCUGGCCCAACAGCUUCAGACCGUUGCACGGUCUUAGAAAAACACUUUCACAUAUAUGUCAUGUGCGAGGAUGCAAAUAGGCACUGAUUUUUGACAUAGCCAAAAUGCUUUUGUAAUAUUUAGUUAUUUUGCACUAUAGCUGUGGUUUAGCAAAGAUAUAUUGUGCUAGGUUGUGUCUAAGAAUUGGAAAGGAAGAGUGUGUGUGUGUGUGUGUGUGUGUGUGUGUGUGUGUGUGUGUGUGUGUGCAGGAAGAGUCGCAAUGACAGUAUGGCUCCGUCCAUCAUGCAUACGCAUAUACAAAAAAAUAAAUACGAGCAGCCACAAAGCAUCUCUCCUUCCCCAUUUCAAUACGCUCUCAUUCUCUGACAUGGGCGGUUGUAUCAUUUUAAUUGGGAGCUUAGACUGAGGUGAGAUUGCCCCGUUUCUAUUUAUUUCAUUUUGCUAACCUCACAUCAGGCAGAACCGCACCAAUGGGACCAACUGAAUUGGAUAUGAAAAUAGACAGGACUCAUUUGUCGAGGGAGAAAAAGAGUGAGAGAGAGACAGCCGACGUCUCCAGAGGAAGGCGGGCGAGGACGGAAAAGCUCAUUUUCUGUGGCCACCCCGUGCUGUCUGCAUUGCAGAUCGGUGAAAAUACUGGCGAAUAUGAUGGCAAGGCUCGGGAGAGGGUUUAUGUUAUCUGUGCCUUUGUGAUGCUUCCGACGAGGUGCGUUGCUCUUUGAUGUGAAAAAGGAAGGUUGAGAGAGCUCUCUCCAGCACAUGCCACCCUCAUUAGUGUCCAGCAGCUGAAGACGCGAGGUCACAAACCCAAUGAGUUGCACAUUUCAUUCAGCUUUGCCGACAUGGAAAGAUGACCACUGUGACCUAAUGUUCGGUGCGGUCUGACAGCACAUUGUGUGCAUCAUACAAAGUGGCUUGAAUAACCCUUGAACCUUGUGUGGAGUGCAUUAUUUUUUAUGAAAUUGCCAACUUUUCAACAUUCUUGUAGAUUUUAUUCAUUCAAUAAAUUGUGCAUUUUUCUAAAAAAGGGAACA
ensembl:lncRNA